UUUGAGGUCUGGCCUGCUCACUGAUAGGUUUUAAAGAGCCGCGGUAUUUUGACCGUGCAAAGGUAGCAUAAUCAUUAGUCUCUUAAUUAGGGGCUGGAAUGAAUGGCUUGACGAGAAAUUAACUGUCUCUUAUUAAAUUAUAGAAUUUAACUUUUGAGUUAAAAGGCUUAAAUUUUUCUUAAAGACGAGAAGACCCUAUAGAGCUUUACAUUUUAUUUAAAUAUAAUUUUUAGAUGGUUUUUUUAUAUUUUAAGAUAAUGUUUUGUUGGGGUGACAUGAAGAAUAAAUAAACUCUUCAUUAUAAAAUCAUUGAUUUAUGUUUAUUUUGAUCCAUAAUUUAUGAUCAUAAGAUUAAGUUACCUUAGGGAUAACAGCGUAAUUGUUUUUGAGAGCUCAUAUUAACAAAGCAGAUUGCGACCUCGAUGUUGGAUUAAGGAUAAUUUUGGGUGCAGGAGCCCAGUAA
rnacentral:rRNA from 1 species